GUGCUCACUUCAGUAGCACAUAUACUAAAAUUGAAAUAACACAGCAAUUGCCAUGGUCCUCGCACAAGCAUGACAUGCAAAUCUGUGACAUGUUCCAUAAUUUU
rnacentral:snRNA from 1 species